CGUACACUCCUGCGGGAGGCAGCAGUGGGGAAUAUUGGACAAUGGGCGCAAGCCUGAUCCAGCCAUGCCGCGUGAGUGAUGAAGGCCCUAGGGUUGUAAAGCUCUUUCACCGGAGAAGAUAAUGACGGUAUCCGGAGAAGAAGCCCCGGCUAACUUCGUGCCAGCAGCCGCGGUAAUACGAAGGGGGCUAGCUUUGUUCGGAAUUACUGGGCGUAAAGCGCACGUAGGCGGAUCGAUCAGUCAGGGGUGAAAUCCCAGGGCUCAACCCUGGAACUGCCUUUGAUACUGUCGAUCUGGAGGAUGGAAGAGGUGAGUGGAAUUCCGAGUGUAGGGGUGAAAUUCGUAGAUAUUCGGAGGAACACCAGUGGCGAAGGCGGCUCACUGGUCCAUUACUGACGCUGAGGUGCGAAAGCGUGGGGAGCAAACAGGAUUAGAUACCCUAGUAGUCCCA
rnacentral:rRNA from 1 species